AUACAAGAUGCGCGCUGUGCUAUUGGCCGUGACUAGAGGCGCGCAGAGAUGACGUAAGGGAUCGCUGUUCAACUUCGGUACUUGGGAGGAUCGCUUGGACACCAUUGGGAAAAGCCAUUGAAAAGGUCGUAAGACUGCAGUUCAUUCAGAAGAAAGGAACAGAGCUAAUUAAUCGAGAAAAUGCCUCCUCUUGAUACUGAUGUACUGAACUAUUGCAGUCUACAGAUCUACAGCCGACUUGCGGAAAUUAUUGGCCUUGGUAAUAGAGAAUUCAUUACCCACCCUGCCUUAGUUGUAAAGCAGGUGUUGUGUGACCACAUGAAAGAGAUCGAGGCCUCUUUAAAGGAAGCACAGAAGAAGGGUCGGUUACAACAUAAAAUUUCUCAAGUAAAUGGAAAAUAAGUGAAAUUCUCACAGAAUGCAGAGGAAAAGGCCAAAGAAAUAAGAUAAGGAAAGAAGAGAAAAGGAGAGAUGUAGAGGGCUUGUCCAGGAGAUACAAUCUACGUGUAAUAGGAAAACCUGAAAGAGAGUACAAAGCAAAUGAAGCUGAAACAAUAAUUACAGAGCUAAUUGAAGAAAAUUUUCCAGAGUUGAAGAACGAAGUAGACCUGAAAAUGAAGAAGGCUCACAGGCACCAAAGAUUGAACCAGGACCUUGUGCACGAUAACCAAGCACGUUACCACAACUCAUUCCCCACCCCGCUGCUGCAACAAAUUUAAUGGCAGAAUGGAAAUUGUACUGGCGUCACUGGGUGGGGGAGUGGGGGCCUGCGGGCGCCCUGCGCUCUACCUGGGUUUGGGGCAGGUGCGGUUUGCCCUGUGCAGGACUGGGGCAGGCAGGAGUCGGGCCUGGUCUCAGCUUAAGGUGACAGCGCGUUUUCCUGUCCCGAACUUGGCAGUCCGCACGGCGCGCUCUCAGGAGGAGGUUCGAGGAAAAGGAAGAAAUGGAAGGAACUCAGUGGAGUGAAUCAGGCUCUCAGGGAUCCCACAGGUCAGUCCAGCAUCCAAUCAGAGAACAUUUUACAUUUCUCCACAUAGGCAAGAAAAAUCAAUAUUUAAAAAAAAUUUUUAUUAGUAUAUGUCUGCAAUAUAUAAUGAAUAUAUUCAUCAUGGGGAGUUGGUGUAUGUACAUAUCACAUUUUAAUCAUUUGUACUUCCCCUUUUCCUCUCCCCCCAAUCAAUACAUUUGAUCUAUGAAGAUAACAGAAUUCUUUAUAACUUUUGUGUUUUUAUUUAUUUUUAUAUAGCUCUUCUACAUAUUUCUUUAUGAGUGAAGAAAUAUACCUCUGGCUAAAAUUGAUAAAUCCUGAAAUCUGAGUGGUUUAACACAAUAAAGUAUAUUUCCUGUUAGUAAUACAAUUUCAUAAUCAGUGUUCUUGGCAGACAGCUCUCCUGUAAGUGGAGAUCUAGUGUUCUAAGAUCCUUCCUGCUUGUGCUAUUAUCAACGUGUGCUGCUCACAAUCUCUGGGGGGUUGUUAUGGUUUGGGUCCAGAUGUCUCCUCAAAGCUUCAUGCAGUCAAAGGUGGAUUUUUCAGAGGUGGCUGAAUCUAGAGUGUGUGAUGCUGGGAAUAAAGGCCUGUGGUUACUAAACCAGUACACUGAUUGGUUUGGCACCACCCUAAUCCCAGUAGUCUGGAUAAGAUAAAAGGCACAGAAAGACACUGUUAAAGUUCCCCUGUUGCUUUUGCUACCAUGUGGGCACUGUUUCUCCUCUGCAAUGGCCCUCUGCCAUGUGCCACUCUGCCUUGGAGCCAGCCGAUUAUAGACUGAAACCUCUACAAACUGUGAGCUAAAUAAACCUUUCCUCCUUUAACUGUGGGUGUUGGGUAGUUUGCCUCACCAGUGAGAGAAAAGUAACUAAGACACAGGGGUUGUCUGCUGCCACCCACUUUAGAGGGGCAGAGAGCACGGGAAAAGCAUGGUGGUUCAUGCCUAUAAUCCCAGUACUUGGAAGGCUGAGGCAGGAUUGAGUUGAGUCCGGCCUGGGCUUCAUAAUGAGAUCAGAGCCAGCCUGAACUACAUAGUAAGACCUUGUCUCAAACAGACAAAUAGAGCAGGGGAAUCAUGUCAGAGUGAGAUGGCCAGGUCAACAAGUAGUCUUCAUCACUUUAAUUGACUGUCCCCGGACAGAAUCAGGACAAAUGAUUACCCGUACAUGCAAAAAUGGCUGGGAAAUGUAAUUUACAAGGUUCCUAGGUAGAAAACAAAGAAGGUUUUACUAAAAAAUAAAUAAAAAUU
ensembl:lncRNA